rnacentral:tRNA from 1 species
CGGGGUGUAGCGCAGCUCGGUAGCGCGCUUGUUUUGGGUACAAGAGGCCAUCGGUUCGAAUCCGGUCACCCCGACCA